GUAGAUGUGUAAUAAGGUCUUAAAUUAUGAAAAUUUCCUUUAAUUAAUUAAUAAAAUUAAUAAUUUAGUUUCAACCAAUGAGAAUUCAGCAAAUCAUUUUUCGGGUGGUUCGCAUAAGCAUUGUUUCCGUAAGCAUCGUUUGAUUUAAAGCAUUUCUGAAUUAAUAGAUUGAUAAACAAAAAUAAGAGUGGAUAAAAAAAAACGGAACUGAAUUUCUUAAAAAAAGAAUUCAAUAUCUUUAGUUCCUUUGAUAAAUUUUUAGUUUCAUGAUAAAUUUUUUGUUUCGUUACAAUAGAAUGGCAAUGGCAUCGUGCGAAUAUUCAAACCAAAACAAACGUGCGAAUAUUCAAACCAAAACAAACUUUCUACAAACAAUUAUUUUGAUUUGAGAUUUAAAACGCUAUCUUAGUUAUUUAGUUCUAUUUUUAUUUAUUUAGUGCCUGCUGCCUAAAUAAAAUGCCUGCUAUCAGGCGUCGAAAUAUCUCUGGCAGACGUCAGAGAAAUGAAUGGCGAAAUUCUAAACGGGAAAGCAUUUCUUAUUGAGAUAUAUUCUCUGCUACAGCUCCAAAUUUCUCAGCUACAUGAAGAAAAGAUAAUCAAAUUGUGAAGGGGGCAGAGAAGUGUAUAAAUUUCAUUAAAAUUGUUAAAAUUGGAGGUGAGUUUUAUCAUUGAAUAGCUUUUUCUGGAGUCCUUAAGCAUGGCAAGGAUACCAGUAAUGAGUGUAUCAGCAUCCAUUAAUGAUCCUGUUGCUGUUAUGAAUACUUACUGCUCAUAUGUAUCAAUGCUCAUAGAUCCUGUUGCAAAGGAGGAAAGUAAAUUGAAAGCUUUGCCAGAAUUGAGUGGAGAGCUUGAAGUAAGGUGGAAAAUGAGGAAAACAUAUUAGUAGUUUUAAGAUUCAAUCAUAGAAUUUCAUAAGACCUUCAGGCCACCAUGCAGCUUUGAAGCCUUUUGCUUAUAGUACUUUAGCUGAUCUUGUGCAUCAUAUGAGACAAUAUUUAUAGUUGAAGGUUCUGGCUAAGGCUGUAAAUGUGUUCUCAAGAAAUGUUCAUGAUGAAUCUUUAGUAACUACAAUUUAAACAAUGUCUUGUAUGCUUAUUCUGAAUUUAAUUAAAUGCAUUAGAAUGAGAUCUGAUCAAGAAAAUGUCAAUCCGUAAGUUGUUAGUGAGGAUGCUUGAAGUUUUAGUUUUAAAACUACUGCAAAGCUGCAACUGCCUGCUCUGCAGAAAAAAGCUGCCCAGCCUUUAAAACAUCAAACCUUGGCUAUUUCUGACUCACACUCUGCCCCUCCCAUAGUUGCCUCUUCAAGUUCUUCCCUUUCAAAUGUGACAUCUUUUGUAUCUGCAGCUCAGGAUAUCAUGUUAAUCCACUUAGUUAUGCUCCUGGAGUCCUCCCGGUAAAGACUUCCAUUCAGGUGGUCUAUUAGACCGACCAGAUGAAUAAACAAAAUUUGGUGUUCCUGCUUCUCAGGCAGCUAUUUGUAACAUUGCAGAAUGUAGAAGCUUAGUCAAAACUUUAGUAUGCGCAGUGAAAACUGUUACUUGGGGAAUAACGGCUUACAAGUUUUCUGGCGGUACGCUUUAUUUACACCUUCCUAAAAAAUUUUGUUUUAGUAUGACUAUAGACAUAUCCAUAACCUAAAUGAAAUGUUGUAAAAUGUGAUUUUUUUUUACU